rnacentral:rRNA from 1 species
AUUGAACGCUGGCGGCAUGCCUUACACAUGCAAGUCGAACGGUAACAGGUUAAGCUGACGAGUGGCGAACGGGUGAGUAAUAUAUCGGAACGUGCCCAGUCGUGGGGGAUAACGUAGCGAAAGCUACGCUAAUACCGCAUACGAUCUACGGAUGAAAGCGGGGGAUCGCAAGACCUCGCGCGAUUGGAGCGGCCGAUAUCAGAUUAGGUUGUUGGUGAGGUAAAGGCUCACCAAGCCUGCGAUCUGUAGCUGGUCUGAGAGGACGACCAGCCACACUGGAACUGAGACACGGUCCAGACUCCUACGGGAGGCAGCAGUGGGGAAUUUUGGACAAUGGACGCAAGUCUGAUCCAGCAAUGCCGCGUGCAGGACGAAGGCCUUCGGGUUGUAAACUGCUUUUGUACGGAACGAAACGGCGAGCUCUAAUACAGUUUGCUAAUGACGGUACCGUAAGAAUAAGCACCGGCUAACUACGUGCCAGCAGCCGCCGCCG